AGAGGGAGAAAAAUCAUCAGUGCAUUUGAAUAGCCACUAAUAGCUCCUCUCUCUCCUGACAUGAACAUUAAAUGGGAGGAAUAUCACCUAAUUUAACAUCGGUAUUUCUAAGCUUUCUUGACGUCUACAUGGAACCUGGAUGGAAGUAGCAACCUGGAUGCAAUCAUGAGGGGCAAAUACCAGUCCUCCUAACUUGUUAUUGAAUGGAAAGUUCAGAUGUUUUCUCCAGAGGACUUAGUUUGAAAUUUUAGAGCCAACGGCUACUAUCCUGUCUCUGCAGUAUGGCAGUGGAAACCGCUUCCACCAACUGCAACAAUAAGAGUGUUGACCAAGACCACUCUGCAUUCCUGAGCUGGGAGUUGAGCCUGUACUGUGAGAGGUGAAAACACUGCACAGCACCGCUCUCCGAGGUGAAGACACCAGAGGAAGUUCUCUGUUCUCACGCAGAGAUCUGUUUGAGUGGCAGCCCUUCUUACCAUGAAUCAACCUGCUUACAUGGUAGUAUCCAAGUUGCUUCAUGUUUUUGCUCAUAAAUAUUAGUCUCAUCUAGAGAACAAAUAGAACUGUGCUGUUCUGAAUAGAAUGUUGCUAAAUAAUGAAAGCAGCCCAUGGUCUAUUUGAAGUAGUGAAAUAGAGGAAAGAGGAGGAAAAUAAAACCAUGUAUCAACUAAACA
rnacentral:lncRNA from 1 species